ACCCCGCCUGACUCGCUGCGCUAUGCGUUCCCUCACGCCUGCCGGAUGCCAGGCGGCGAUGUGCCAGGCUCUGAGGGGCCGCGAGCUCACCCCAGACGCCGGCCCCGGGAAUCCUCUGCUCCUCCACUUUCCCUUCCCGCUACUGGUUUCUUGCCCACCCACUCCCAGGUGUCACUCUUGGGACAUCCAGAUGUUCUGACAUUUGACCUGACUCCAGCCUCAGCGCGAGGACGGGAGAAGGGCCAAGGAACCCAAAUCCUCAGAGCUGAUCGAGAAGCGCGUGUUGUUGCAGAAGUCACUGAGGGGCAGACCUGGAAUGUGAGCCGUGGGGCGAAGGGACAGCUCUGGAGACUCGUGAUUCCGGAACCCGGUGGGCAUUCAAGUGAUACUGGAGCACGCAGUUUUCGGGGACAUUAAGCUCGCCCCAGGGGUCCACAGGAACCCUCUGACCCAACGGUCUCUCUGGACAGGAUGAUCCAGAACAGACGGUGAAGAGACAAAACAGCGUGAAAGGGAGCGGCGAUACCUAAACUGACCUCCGGAGGGCAGCAUGAUCAAGGGAAGGAGCUGUUCUCGCUCCGCUCAAACCCCCGCGCAGCCUCUGCAGCUUACUCCUGCUUCGGAAGGCGGCGAGGUUCCACCCCCACCACCCCGGUCCCCGCCGCCCUCUUCGCGCUGAAGCUGCGGAGGGUCUUUUUCUUCAGCCCCCAAAUCCUCUGCUCUGUGGCUUAAGAUUCCCAGGCUUAAACCCAUAACUGCUAGGGUCAUCACUCCUCAAACUUCUCCCUCACUUGUUUUGCUGAUGACGGACACAGGGGCCUCACAGACUCAGAAGCAUCUGGAGUCAUUUCGAAGGACAGAACUGUGGCAAUAUCCUCUUUCCCCCUCCUAAUCUCUGAGAACAGUGUCUGUAUAUGGCACGGGGGUCCCUAGUGUCAUAUAGAAGGACUCGGAGAUGUCCUCAUGGGCUGUAACGGCCCCCGGUGCUAUUCAGGGAUCUCUGUUCUUUAAAGAAAUAUCAUUUCCCCUUAUUUCUC
rnacentral:lncRNA from 1 species